ensembl:lncRNA
AGUGUUUACGUUGAGAUGCUCACAACAAAGGACAGCGCACCGCGGAGAGGCUGUCAUUUAAAAUAAAGAGAAAGCACCGUGGAUAUUUUCUCUUACGGUGAGCGUCUGCAACUCACGACUCCUGGAAGGGGAGAGCAAAUUUAAAAAAAAAAAACCCUAAUCUGCUUCUAUUUUAUUUAUUUUUCCUACAUGAUACGCUUUAUUUUUUUUUUUAUCAUUAUUAUUUUAUUUUUUUAAGCAGCUAAGACGCGGAGAAAUUAGGACGAAAUCUUCUGCCGUUUUUUUUCUAUGUUUUUGUUUUUUCCUUCUGAGCCGGUGGGACGAUAGCUAGCUCCUUAGCCUCUGCAAGUUGGUGGGAAGGCUAAGCAGCUGAGACCGACCGCAGGCUCGGGACAAUAAGAGGACCUCAUCAUUUAUAUCGCAGCUUCAGAGAUGCAGGUAUUAGUUUACAUCCCAUCCAUCCUGCGUGCUGACCUGUCACAGGGAGGGCUGAUGUGGAUCUCACCACUUCCCUUCCCCUUUCUGGAAAUGUCACAGAGAAGAGAGACGUGCAUUAACACCAUCUGUCCCUGGUCUUACUUCCAUUGUCUGCUUUUUAUUGUGAACGCUAAUGAGGAAAUGUUGGCAAGUUGUAGCAGCCAGUGCAUUUCAUUUUGUCACUGAACCAACCUCAGAGCUUUUUAAAAUUUGUAUUAGAAUAGGAAAUUCAAAUAAUUAUAAACUGUCUAGUUCUAUCACAUUUCUUUUUAAAAUUUAACCUUAAAAAGAAAGCAAGAAAGUAGGCUUUCAACGAGUUAUAGCUACAGAUGCAUAGUGCGAAAAGUGUUGUGUGUAUAUAACGUGCUCUGUUGCAAUCAGUUUUCUGCAAACAUAUAAGUUGUGCAUAUGGGUUUGUA